UGAGUGCGAAAGAUGAUCGCGGUGAUGCUUAGGCGUUAACGAGGAAAGUCCGAGCUCCACAGGGCAGAAUGCCGGAUAACGUCCGGCGAGGGUGACCUCAGGGAUAGUGCCACAGAAAUGUGUACCGCCUGCUAUGCAGGUAAGGGUGGAACGGUGCGGUAAGAGCGCACCAGCGGUCGGGUAACCGGCCGGCUAGGUAAACCCCAUUCGGAGCAAGACCAAAUAGGGAGGGAUGAAGCGGCCCGCUGAACCUUCCGGGUUGUGUCGCUGGAGCCUGCGAGUAAUUACAGGCCUAGAUAAAUGAUCAUCACCGCUUUGCGGAACAGAACUCGGCUUAUUGAGCACUCGUAUU
rnacentral:RNase_P_RNA from 1 species